UCGAGAAUCUUCGGCAAUGGACGAAAGUCUGACCGAGCGACGCCGCGUGUGUGAUGAAGGCCUUCGGGUUGUAAAACACUUUCGUGAAGGAUGAAGUGUAUGUGGGUUCUCCCAUGUAUUUGACAUAUAUCAGGAAGAAGCUCGGGCUAAGUUCGUGCCAGCAGCCGCGGUAAGACGAACCGAGCAAACGUUAUUCGGAAUCACUGGGCUUAAAGGGUGCGUAGGCUGUCUGCUAAGUGGGAUGUGAAAUCCCUCGGCUCAACCGAGGAAUUGCGUUCCAUACUGGCAGACUCGAGGAAGGCAGAGGUAAGCGGAACUUGCGGUGGAGCGGUGAAAUGCUUUGAUAUCGCAAGGAACACCGGUGGCGUAGGCGGCUUACUGGGCCUUAUCUGACGCUGAGGCACGAAAGCUAGGGUAGCGAACG
rnacentral:rRNA from 1 species